UUUCCAGAGGAAGGUUCGCCCGCUCUGGGUAAGUCGGGACCUAAGGCGAGGCCGAGAGGCGUAGUCGAUGGACAACAGGUAGAGAUUCCUGUACUUACGGUAUGAAUGAAGGAGUGACGGAGAAGGCUAGGUGAUCCUGCGGCUGGAAGAGCAGGUGCAAGCGAGGUAGCAGAUAUCCAGGCAAAUCCGGAUAUCGGGAAAGCGAAGGCGUGAAGCGGAUGGAAAGCCAAGGCAAGUACAGAAGUCAUUGAAGCCAGCUUCCAAGAAAAGCUUCUAGUGAUAAUCAUACAGUAACCCGUACCGAAAAUGGACACACAUGGGUGAGGAGAGAAUCCUAAGGUGAGCGAGAGAACUAUAGCUAAGGAACUCUGCAAAAUGACUCCGUAACUUAGGGAGAAGGAGUGCUCAUAGAGAUAUGAGCCGCAGUGAAACGGCCCAAGCGACUGUUUACCAAAAACACAGCUCUAUGCUAAGUCGAAAGACGACGUAUAUGGGGUGACGCCUGCCCGGUGCUGGAAGGUUAAGAGGAUGUGUCAGCGCAAGCGAAGCACUGAAUUGAAGCCCCAGUAAACGGCGGCCGUAACUAUAACGGUCCUAAGGUAGCGAAAUUCCUUGUCAGGUAAGUUCUGACCCGCACGAAAGGCGUAACGAUUUGGGCGCUGUCUCAGCUGUAGACUCGGUGAAGUCUUAGUACCUGUGAAGAUGCAGGUUACCCGCGACUAGACGGAAAGACCCCAUGGAGCUUUACUGUAGCUUGAUAUUGGACUUUGAUGCAGGAUGUACAGGAUAGGUAGGAGACUGAGAGACAUGCACGCCAGUGUGUGAGGAGUCGCUGUUGGGAUACUACUCUUCCUGUAUUGGAGUUCUAACCGGAUGCCAUAAGCUGGCAACGGGACAGUGUCAGGUGGGCAGUUUGACUGGGGCGGUCGCCUCCCAAAGAGUAACGGAGGCGCCCAAAGGUUCCCUCAGAAUGGUUGGAAAUCAUUCGAAGAGUGUAAAGGCAGAAGGGAGCUUGACUGCGAGACCUACAAGUCGAGCAGGGACGAAAGUCGGGCUUAGUGAUCCGGCGGUACCGAAUGGAAGGGCCGUCGCUCAACGGAUAAAAGCUACCCCGGGGAUAACAGGCUGAUCUCCCCCAAGAGUUCACAUCGACGGGGAGGUUUGGCACCUCGAUGUCGGCUCAUCGCAUCCUGGAGCUGAAGUCGGUUCCAAGGGUUGGGCUGUUCGCCCAUUAAAGCGGUACGCGAGCUGGGUUCAGAACGUCGUGAGACAGUUCGGUCCCUAUCUGUCGUGGGCGUAGGAAGUUUGAGAAGAUCUGUCCUCAGUACGAGAGGACCGGGAUGGACAUAUCAAUGGUGCACCAGUUGUCACGCCAGUGGCACAGCUGGGUAGCUAAAUAUGGAAGGGAUAAACGCUGAAGGCAUCUAAGUGUGAAACCCACUUCAAGAUGAGACUUCCCAUUACGCAAGUAGGUAAGACCCCUUAAAGACGAUAAGGUUGAUAGGUCAGGAGUGUAAGCAUGGUGACAUGUUCAGCGGACUGAUACUAAUAGGUCGAGGACUUAACCU
rnacentral:rRNA from 1 species